rnacentral:rRNA from 1 species
AACCGAUGGCCUCCUGAACGCGCAUGCGCUCUCGGGAUUUCCUGAGAGCAGGUCUGCUUCAGUGCUUAGC